ensembl:snRNA U4 U4 spliceosomal RNA
AACCUGAGUGGCAGUAUCGUAGCCAAUGAGGUUUAUCCGAGGCGCGAUUAUUGCUAAUUGAAAACUUUUCCCAGAACCUGAUAAGGUACGGGUCACGUAACUGUCACUUUUUCUUAACCCUUUAUUCUUUGGGG